rnacentral:lncRNA from 1 species
AGCAUUAAUCCAGUCAAUAAUUCGCUGCCUAUGUGCAUCUUGAUUGUGAUCCAUGUCCCCGUAUGUAUAAUUAAGAGAAUCCCAGUACUCGCCCACAGCAAAGUAAGGCUCACUAGCAUCAAUGUAAUCCUUGACAUAACCACCCCAAAAACCUCGAACAAAAUCAAGCCUCCACCCAUCAUAUCCAAUCUCUUGCCUGCAAGUCCACAAAUUCCAAAAGACCCAGAAGUUAGUCCCAGGUAAGUAAAAACCUGGAAUUGUACUUCAAAUCAUCAAAUAACCUGAUGAAAGAUACAGAUGUAUUACUGAACCCACUACCAAACAAAGAAUUAAACAAGCACUUGACACAGAGCAAUGCCAAGAAAUGACCUUAGCCAACAUAACCAUUCUUUGAGGUCCUUUCUCACGAAUUCUUGUGAAUGAUCGAUAUUAGGUGCAGCAUGGAAAUUAUCCCCACUACUUUUAUUGCCUCUUCCCUGUGAGGAAAAAGAUACAGUAAAAUAAAUUGUUGGAACUGCCACGUUUUUGGAAUCACACAGUGGGAAAUCCAGAUGGGUAUGUAAAUACAAAGGUAGAAGAUACUGCUCAAAUCAGAAGAAACACCAAUACUCUCAAAAUCGAUUUGUCCAGAGAGUGGAGACACGAGCAUUUGCCUGUAAUUAUAUAAUGGAAAAUAAUCUAGGUACCACACAACAAGUAAGCUUCAUAAAAAGUAGAAGGAUUGCAGUUGCUGUUUCCAAAUGCAGCACACAACUGUAAGUAAAGCCAACCACAAAGCACUAAAUCUUGACAACCAAAAUAAGCAGGAUUAAGUUAAUGUUUUGCCAUAGAAAUCCGUCCUAGCUAUAGGAAGCUCAGAAAGUGUACAUUAAAGACAAAAAAUUGAAGCAAAAGGAAAUGACAAGAAUCACAUUUCCCUUAGUUUCUGUAUUUUUUCAACCAGUAUACCAGUAUACUGUCUUAUUUACUCUUUUUUAUCAGGUUUAAUCUGCAGCCCAGGGUUUAUGCAAAUUUAUCUACACACUGUUGAAUGUUGUAUUAAAGGAAUGACAAUAAUGUUUUACACUCAACUAUCCUGAUAAAAUCUGCCACUAGUUCCGAUACCAACAAGCUAGUAGUUCAACCGUGAAUGUUAAAAUCUGUAACUAGGCACAAGCAAGUACCUGAAAAUGUGGAUCAUCAGCAACCACUGCACAAUCAUCCCAAUUCAAACGGCCACCAAAAAUAUUCCAAAUACCAUUCUGAUUUUUGUAAUGGGCACAUCUAUGGUUUAACACAGCAUCUCCGAGGACAUUGAUGCCAACUUCAUGGAAUCUCUUCACGAGAGACUUUAAUUCAUCAAUACUUCCAUAUCUGAAAAUGAUCAAGAAGUUAAAAACAUCAACCACAGAGGCAGACAGACAGAGGGAGAGAGUGCUGCAAGAAGAUGUGGUAUAACAAUUUCAGUAGUUAUUCCUUGAUCAGCAUUUAUUCCAAUAAUCAGAGCAAUUUCAGGUAAUCGGAUUUAUUUGUUCCCUUAGUUUAGUUAUUCUAAUCAAAUAAACAAAUUAUAACUUUACCUAGAGAUAAAAAAAGAAAUUACAAGAGAAUAUAAAAAUUUAAUUAACAUCUGCCCGGUAGCAUAAAGAAUUGGAAGACAGGCAUGAAAAGAAGAAUGAAUAGCCUACUUCUGAAAGUAGACAGGUGUCAGCUACCACAAUAGAUUUGACUUAGCUACCCAUUGUCAACUCAAAUCCAUGAAGAAGACUACAGCAGAUCGUACUAUUAAGAAGGCCAUGGUUUUCAUGAUUAUGUUUAUAGGAUUGAAGUAGGUGCAAACAGUAUUAAUGAAGUUUGCACAUUUAGGUCUAAAGUCAGAGUUCAGUCCCACAUUCUACAUAACGGUAAAUUAUCUGAAUAGGAAAACUGCAUAAGCAUGUCCAAAUUCAGGAUUCCAGGAAACUAAUCUAAUCUUAGUACCUAUAUUAGUUUUCCAACACAACUGUUCUUACCUGGAGUUCAGAUUGUACAAAUCCUUUGGCAUGUAGCCUUCAGGUGAAACAGACUCUGUGGGCGGAGGUAACCAGACAACAGUAAAACCAAGUGAUGAUAACUCUGCAGCUUUUUGAUGAAGCUCCAUAUACCAUCUUCCAGAUUUAUGUGACUCCCAGUUAAAUCCUUGACAUACAACUUCAAAACCAGAACCAGUCCCAGAAGCUAUUUUGACAGACGGUGUUAAUACCUCUGCUUCUGAGACUCCCUCUUCUGUAAAUGUCGGUAUGGCGCUCCUAAAGAUACUAUAGGCUUCUGCAGCAAGCUUCUCGAUCUCC